rnacentral:tRNA from 1 species
UCUCUGGUGGUCCAGUGUUAAGCCUUUGCACUUCCAUUGCAGCAGGGCCCGGGUUCGAUCCCUGGUCAGAGAG